rnacentral:rRNA from 1 species
GAUGAACGCUAGCGGCAGGCCUAACACAUGCAAGUCGAGGGGUAGAAGGAGCUUGCUCCUUUGAGACCGGCGCACGGGUGCGUAACGCGUAUGCAAUCUACCUUGUACAGGGGAAUAGCCAGGGAAAUUUUGGUUUAUUUCCCACUGUAUAUUAACUUCCGCUUGUUGUUUUUAUUAAGUUUCCACCGGUAAAGAAGAGGAUUCCGGCCCAUUGGUAGGUUGUUAGGGUAAGGGCUUACCAAGACGUGAUUGGGAGGGGGUCCUGGGGGGGGAUUCCCCAAACCGGGACCGAGAACACGGACCAGAUGCCAAGGGAGGCAGCAGUGAGGAAUAUUGGUCAAUGGUCGCAAGACUGAACCAGCCAUGCCGCGUGCAGGAAGACGGUCCUAUGGAUUGUAAACUGCUUUUAUACAGGAAGAAACCCUCCCACGUGUGGGAGCUUGACGGUACUGUAGGAAUAAGGAUCGGCUAACUCCGUG